CCCAGACUCCUACGGGAGGCAGCAGUAGGGAAUCUUUCACAAUGGGCGAAAGCCUGAUGGAGCAACGCCGCGUGCAGGAUGAAGGCCUUCGGGUUGUAAACUGCUUUUAUAAGCGAGAAAUAUGAUGGUAACUUAUGAAUAAGGAUCGGCUAACUACGUGCCGGCAGCCGCGGUCAUACGUAGGAUCCGAGCAUUAUCCGGAGUGACUGGGUGUAAAGGGAGCGUAGGCGGACUUUUAAGUGAGAUGUGAAAUACUCGGGCUCAACUUGAGCGCCGCAUUUCAAACUGGAAGUCUAGAGUGCAGGAGAGGAGAAUGGAAUUCCUAGUGUAGCGGUGAAAUGCGUAGAGAUUAGGAAGAACACCAGUGGCGAAGGCGAUUCUCUGGACUGUAACUGACGCUGAGGCUCGAAAGCGUGGGGAGCAAACAGGAUUAGAUACCCCAGUA
rnacentral:rRNA from 1 species